rnacentral:lncRNA from 1 species
UUUUUUCUUUUUUUUUUUUUUUUUUUGCCUUUUUGCCAUUUCUUGGGCCACUCCUGCGGCAUGUGGAGGUUCCCAGGCCAGGGGUCUAAUCGGAGCUGUAGCUGCCGGCCUAUGCCAGAGCCACAGCAACGCAGGAUCCGAGCUGCGUCUGCAACUUACACCACAGCUCACGGCAACACCGGAUCGGUAACCCACUGAGCAAGGACAGGGAUCGAACCCGCAACCUCAUGGUUCCUAGUCGGAUUCGUUAACCACUGCGCCACGACGGGAACUCCUGUUUUUCAAAUAUUGAUUACAGUGUUUAUGUUUUUGUUUUAAAAGAAACAUGCCCUUUUCAUACAAGGACUCUGGCUGCCUAAGAAAUCUGAUAUUAAACAAAAGACACUUUACAAUAAGGUGACAUUUUAUUAUUUAUACAAUAAAGAGACUUCUUAUAUUAUUCAAAACACUUUUUUAAAUACUGAAAAAGUUGAGUACACCAAAGCCGAAAAAUGGCUCUGCUAUACACUGCACAGCAUUAUUUUAGUCCCUGUAUUUUGUAUCUGUACAGAAAGCAUCUUCAAAAUGCAUUCUAAUCACAUUGUACACCUUUACUGAUUAGUGUCAAUACGUAAAAUAAAACUGGAGAAUACAGCUUGCAUUUGCAAAUUAACUGACAAAGUAAUUUCACUGAUUCAGUAAAUUUAAAAUGUAGAUUCAUAGGACUUCUUUGCACAUAAAAUGAAGCAGCUUUCAAGGUUGUCAUGAUCUCAUACUGCAAAAAAACCAUUAACUACAUUCACAAUCUAUGUUAAUAAAGUAGUAAAUAUGUCUUCAUUCAGUUUUUAUUUACAUCUAUAUGUAGUUCAACUAAAAAGUACUGUUAAUUGUGAUACAGUAGUAUUUUUAACACAUACAAAAAUGACAAUUUUUAUAUAUAAUUUAAGCUCAAAAUCACAAUUAUCUCAAAAUAUUAAUUACAAUACAGCCAUUUCAAUUAAACAUGUCAUGAUUUAAUUUUUUAUAAAAUGGUAAAAUUUUUUUAUUAAAGUAAGCAAUUUGUUUUGAAUUGGCUAGAUAGAGUUCACCCAUGUAGAAAACCUUAAAUGGUAAGAGGUGUUUCCGGCCCCCUCCCACCCAAAUUUGAAUACAGCCACCUAGGCUAGCAAAGAGACAGAAAAGGCCCCAAUUUAUAAAGAUUAAGCCUCUUUUGCUAUACUGCUGUGGCUUGUUUUUUCCAUAAAAGCUUUACAAGGGGAGUGUCAGUAAACGAUGCAGUGAGAUGCAUGCAUUAAUAUACAAUAUGUCUACAUGAGAUGUGUUUCCUCUAGUGCACAUUAAAAUGUUCACAAAGACUGCAAAAUAAGUCGUAAGUAAAGAAGCACUUAUAAAGAUCUACCAAUGGCAAAUUGUAAACUUGAAAAUUACUUGAUAGUAUCACGGAGUGUCUUUGAAAACAGAUCCCAAUUCAAGUUCUUUCUGGCUAAAGGAGCUCUGGCCUCAAGAUGUCACUGUUGUGCUGCACAUAUGGUAGUGAAGUCAGAUGUCAUAAAGGAAUAUGAGUCUAGAGUCUGUCUUCAUUUUACUAAAAUAAUGGCCCAAUGUUGCAUCACUGCUUAGAUUUGUUUUUAAACUUACAGAAGAGUGAAAUAUUUCACUGAUGAAGUUCUGUGACCUCAAAAGGAAAAUGGAAAAUUUGUGCGUGUGCAUGUGUUUAGCAUAUGGAAAGUAUUAGUAUAAAUAGGUAGAAUUAGAGCUUCAUUAUGCAGUAAAGGAUUAUGCCCCAAAAUAACUGAGGCCAAAAGAAAUCAAUUAUCACAUAGUUUAGAGAUGAAAGAAUUUUCAUGAAUACUUGAAAAAUUCUAAAAACAGUAUCUUUUUAAUUCUUAGCCAAUGAAAAUCCUAUCACUAUCUUUGUUUAGAAUUGAUGUUGUUAAUUUAAUAUUUCUAUUCUGAAUAGAAAGAGACAGUAGUUCCUAUGGUUUACUUAUAUACAGCUGGGUGGGGGCGUGCCCUUGGGUGGUUAUGAAGUGGGAAAAAUGAAACUACAGUACUUGCAAACCCGACUUUUGCAAAGUCACUUUUGAUGGUCUUUGAAAUUUACAAACAGAAUUCAACAAUUGUUUUUAACCUCUGAUUUUCACCUAGGAAAGAAUUCCUCCUUCACAUGAAGACAAUGUCACUGUCCUUAAGCUUCCUUUAGCCCCUUCUAUACACUAUUUUGAGACAAAAAUAUCUGGUUUACCUAUCAGUUAUCUUUCUCUUCAUUCCAAACAGAAAAACUAAGACUUGCAUUUCUGAGGAGGAAAACAGGGUUGGGGAUGCUAAAGGGAAAUGCCUAAACACUAUAAAGCAGUAUUAAACAUUUAUUGCAUUCCAUUGACACUAGGUGUCAUCAAAGCUAAAACCAAAUGUUCCAGAGUAAAACUUAAAACAUUCCUUUCUGCCCUGAACAGAUGCCUUUCCCACAUUCAAGACCAAUAAGAGUCCUCUGAGUGGAAAGACUGCAAGUAUUGAAAAUAAAAUAUAGUUAAUCAGUACAUUCUGAAAAUAAAUGACCAUAGCAAAUAUGGGAACUGCUUUCAGUUCAUCCGCCUGAGAAUUUCAUCUUGGUUUUCCUGUGAACUAUUCAAAAAAUUACCUAAGAUUUCCUGACUAAAUAAGGGAAGGGGAAGAGGAAGAGAAAGAUACAAAGAAAUAUGUGAUUUUUUUCCAUUCAUCAGAUACUUCCCCUAAUCUAGCUAUUAUAAGGGUCAGUUGACCUGCAUACCUGGGCAUUAUUUCACCUCAUUAUUUUAUCUGUGCAAAACAAGCGUGCAAAGAAAAACACCUAUGUGUGUCUAUACAGAGACAUAAAACCUGAGUCACAAUAAAAAGUUUUUAAUAUAAGAAAACUUUUUUAAUGUAGGAAAAUAACUCUUAAAGGGCCAAAAAUACCUUUGUACAAUAUAAUUUGCUAACUUUAAAACCUCGAUGUGCUAAAGCAUCACAUAUUUUAUAAGAUCCAACCAACAAAAGGAAUCAUUUACAAUUUUAUUAACUAUAACUUACAUACCCAUAUUUUAAUUUCUAACAUCUAUUUUCAUUCCCCUGAAUUCAUGAACUUUUAUGAAAAAAAAAAAAAGCACAUUCAAAUACGAGGACUGUUUAAUUUCUCAUGAACAGUUCCUGCUUUUUUCUAAAUAUUGAGGACAUAGGAGGUUUGGGGUUGCUAGGCAUAUAACUUAAUGUCAAGCCACAAAGGAAUUCUAAAAUUCAAAAGAAAAUGUAUAACCUAUUUUUAAAGGACAUUACCUGGAAUAAUAUUUUGUGGAUAGAGUUGAGUCAAAGUCUGCAUGAAACUAUUCUUGUUUGCAGGCCCCCUUUCUGCAGACUAUUAUUAACUCUUAAAAACUCUUUUCUCUACAUUCCGUUUCCUUGGCUUUCAUUUUAUUUCAUUUCCUUUGCUUUCCACACUUGAACCCUGAAUUGUGCCAGCUGAAGCUAGUUCACAUUCAGCCACCAGUUAGUGUCCUCUUCACUUAUCUACAUUCUUUGUUAACUCUUCCUCUUUAGGAGCUCAGUUUUCUGAGAUGACUCCCUGAUCUUCUCUCAGGUGCCACUUUACUAUUUAUUGUCAGAAAAUCCUUUUAAACGCCCCACUGUCUUAUCAUUAGACACCGAUUUAAGGCUAAUUCAAGACAUACUUAUUCCCUGGGCUGUACACAUUUCAGACGCACACUGAGUACAUUUUAUAAGAAAAUGAGUGCAAGUUGCUUCUCCCCAUGCUGCCCCCAGAUGGCAUUGUCACUAAUUACACCUUUAUGUCAGCUCUGACACUUAGAAGGAAGGGGAAGCCUUCUGAACCAAAUGGUUCAAUCCUUGCAUCUGUAUUGGAUAUAAGUGCCUUUGCAUACCUGCACUAACAGGUGAAGGGAUUCUGAACAGUGCCCUCGAAUCCCGAGUUUCCUCUCGGUCAGCAGGCCUGGUUUGGAGAAAGGGCGGAAAAUGCAUGUGGUAGAGGAAGGGGUUACAGGCAUUAGCCUGGGAACUGUAGUCUCUUGCUGCCUUUUUACGUGACACUUGCCUGAGGAUCACUAGAAGGAUUUUGUAUUGUGCAGAAGGCUAAAAGCAGAGUCACAAUUUCUCUGCCAACGGACUUGUUACCAUGGGAACCAAUGCAGAAAAAUGAAAACAUGACAAGAAGCUGAGAAUUAAAUGUAGAGAAAAUAUUUGAUAGAGAGUUGAUUUCUACAAUUUGAACAUCUGAGAUUUAAAGAAACAGGCUAUUCUUUGUGUGGCCAGAACAAUGAAAAUGGACAAAAUGACUUGCCAGUCAUGGAGGCUACGUGGGGAAUGCAGGAAGAAAGCAGUAAGCAUGCUGUACUUUGCAUAAGGGGGGACUCUGUACCCUGGUGAUGUUGAACUCUUCGUCCCAAAUGUUAAAUUAGCCAUAUGAUCAAAGAUGCCCUUCACAGGCAUGUCCAUGCUUACUUAGCUUGAUGAGUGAAAGCAGCCUGUUGUAACAGUGCUCACAUUUUCAAAGCCCGCACACACUGCCUGACCAGAGUACUGCACACCUAAAGUGUUACUUACUGCUUGAAACAUCUUCCCAAGUACUACAAAACAAAAAAACCAAAAAGCACAGCUUUCAAAUCUGCAGUCCCCCUGCACCCCCGCCACCUCCACCAGGCAGCUAUUGUAAGUAAGCUAGAAUUUAAAUGAGUUUUAUUUAGAAAACUGUUAUUUCACUUUACCUGAUAAGUCCUUCUUUGUCAUCCUGGAGUUAAUAAUAAACUGAUCAAACCAGACCAGGAUUCCAGGACAAUCUAUAACAAGGACUUGAGUUUCAGCCUAAUCUGUGAAAGCAGACCUACUUACUGUACUUUCAGAGGCUCCAGGGAGACACCUGUCUGGUCCACAAAGCUUUCCAAAAGGCUACUUUCUGAAAUGCCAUGAUUAAUGCCUCAUUCCUGUGAUGUCAGCCUUUGGCCCGUAUUUAAAUGCAAUUACCCUGAGGAGAUGAGGGAAGGUCUCACUGUAAAUGACUUUACCCUUCCUAGAGAGCUACUUUCCAAGCAGUAGUGACAUCCUUCACCUGAACCAUGCUCCCAACACACACGAAUUAAAAACUAGAAACAAUAUCACCCAGGAAGUAGGAGACAAGCCAUUAUUGUAUAGUGUCUUUAGGGUACAUUUGACUUCAAAUGGUCUGAAUAAAAUGAAGGACACUGGACAUAGAUUUCACUGGAAAUGCUUUUUUCUUUCUCACUAAUGACUUGCUGUUCUACUGGUAAGAAUUCCUUACUGACUCCUUUGACACUCUCAGCAAUGAGUUCUUAAAAUGCCAGAGGCCCAUUACAUUUUUGUUUUUUUCCAAGAGUGCAUACAGUUCUGAAAUCCAAUAAAAUGCCUUAUUUUUCUGCAACCCGCUGAGCGUUUGGAAGCAAACUUGAUAAUAAAUAGAAAUUUGACCAUAGUGCCCUUGCUUAUGCUAAAAUAUCUUCUUAUAUCAGUAUUUCAAUGAGUUUCAGGAUGUGAGACAUCUAUGCGUGAUUUUUCCAGGUAGAAAGCAUUAGAGUAACCUGAUGCAGGACUAAUCUUUAAAGCUACCUGAAGCACUGCUUUAUACCAAGGACAGUUAAGCAGAUCUCUUUUUGAGAUAGGGAAGUAAAUAUAAUAAAUGGGGUUUUCACUAGCAGUUAUGCCUGUGAAUUUGAUGUACGAUAAGAAACUGCUUCUUUUGAUUUAUCUUAUGGUCUCUAAAAUCAGGCAGCAGAUGCCUGGAGGAAGACUAACUUGUCUGCAUUAAACUAAAGAAUGAUUAGCUUUUUCUGUGUAUGUUUUAAUACUGAUUCUCUUUGUGUGUGUGUAUCUUUUUUUAGGGCCGUACCUGUAGCAUAUGGAAGUUCCCAUGCUAGGGGUUAAAUUGGAGCUGCCGCUGCUGGCCUACACCAGAGCCACAGCAACGCCAGAUCCGAGUCAUGUCUGCCAUCUACACGGCAGCUUGAGGCAACACCAGAUCCUUAGGCCAUUGAGCAAGGCCAGGGAUCGAACCCAUGUCCUCAAGGAUACUAGUCAGAUUGAUUACGGCUGAGCCAUGACAGGAACUCUAAUACUGAUUCUCUGAUUGGCACAUCAUACCUUGGACAAACAUGAGCUCCUUCAGGCUGAGAGGCCAUCUGAUGUUAUUGUAUUUAAUAGAAUUUAAAGAAUUUAUAUUUAAGAAGGUAAAGCUGUUAUAACACAUCUCUUGAUGUACUGAGAAUUUAAAUUUGACUCUGUUUUUUAAACAAUUUGAUUUCUCCUCCCAGUUUUUUGAGGUUGUGUAAGCGAUUCCCUGCUCUAUCAUACACCUUAAAGAGUCAUAGACAAAACGUCUACAUAGUUUUCUCUAGUUUAUCAUACUAGUUCAGCAUCUAGUUCACAAAAAAGCCAAUCUUGCAAUAUUAGGACAUUUAUUGCUUUCAACUGCCACAGAUGUUUGGAAAUUAAAACAGUUGAUUUGUGAGUGGAAUGAUGAUGUCUGCAUAGAAGGCAUACGAUGAGUAAGUCUCUAUAGAGAGCUCAUGUACAGGAUGAAGACUGUUAUAAAUAGGUAACAAUAUUGUUUGAGUACUGGAAACGUGCUCAGAGAGUAGAUUUCAGGUGCUCUCACCACACCCAAAAUAGCAACCAAAUGAGGAGAUGAGAGGUUAUUUAGAUUGACUGUAGUAAUCAUUUCCCUAGGUUUUUGUAUAUCAAAUAAGCAUGCCGUAGGCCUUAAAUGUAUAUAAUUCUAAUUAAAAAACUGA